rnacentral:lncRNA from 1 species
UUUAGCUUUUGCGUCAUUUUGCACUAUGGGCACUGAUUUCUGGGCUAUAUGAUGAUGAUGGAUAGUUUUUCGGAGUGGGACAGUCGUUGAAUAUUCUUCGUAAUCAAGCGAACACGAAGCUAUGACGCCGUCUCCUUAAACGAUUCCAUAGCCCAAAGUAUAUGUGUAAACAGAGUAGCACUCAGCCCCCUUGUGAGGAAGAAGCUAGAAAG